UACGUAGGGUGCAAGCGUUGUCCGGAAUUAUUGGGCGUAAAGAGCUCGUAGGCGGUCUGUCACGUCGGAUGUGAAAACUCGGGGCUCAACCCCGAGCCUGCAUUCGAUACGGGCAGACUUGAGUUCGGUAGGGGAGACUGGAAUUCCUGGUGUAGCGGUGAAAUGCGCAGAUAUCAGGAGGAACACCGGUGGCGAAGGCGGGUCUCUGGGCCGAAACUGACGCUGAGGAGCGAAAGCGUGGGGAGCGAACAGGAUUAGAUACCCGAGUAGUCC
rnacentral:rRNA from 1 species